rnacentral:rRNA from 1 species
ACGAACGCUGGCGGCGUGCUUAACACAUGCAAGUCGAACGGAAAGGCCCUGCUUUUGUGGGGUGCUCGAGUGGCGAACGGGUGAGUAACACGUGAGUAACCUGCCCUUGACUUUGGGAUAACUUCAGGAAACUGGGGCUAAUACCGGAUAGGAGCUCCUGCUGCAUGGUGGGGGUUGGAAAGUUUCGGCGGUUGGGGAUGGACUCGCGGCUUAUCAGCUUGUUGGUGGGGUAGUGGCUUACCAAGGCUUUGACGGGUAGCCGGCCUGAGAGGGUGACCGGCCACAUUGGGACUGAGAUGACGCCCAGACUCCUACGGGAGGCAGCAGUGGGGAAUAUUGCACAAUGGGCGGAAGCCUGAUGCAGCAACGCCGCGUGCGGGAUGACGGCCUUCGGGUUGUAAACCGCUUUCGCCUGUGACGAAGCGUGAGUGACGGUAAUGGGUAAAGAAGCACCGGCUAACUACGUG